GUAGGUGGCAAGCGUUGUCCGGAAUUAUUGGGCGUAAAGCGCGCGCAGGCGGUUCUUUAAGUCUGAUGUGAAAGCCCACGGCUCAACCGUGGAGGGUCAUUGGAAACUGGAGAACUUGAGUACAGAAGAGGAAAGCGGAAUUCCACGUGUAGCGGUGAAAUGCGUAGAGAUGUGGAGGAACACCAGUGGCGAAGGCGGCUUUCUGGUCUGUAACUGACGCUGAGGCGCGAAAGCGUGGGGAGCAAACAGGGAUUAGAUACCCUGGUAGUCCACGCCGUAAACGAUGAGUGCUAAGUGUUAGGGGGUUUCCCGCCCCUUAGUGCUGCAGCUAACGCAUUAAGCACUCCGCCUGGGGAUACGGCCGCAAGGCUG
rnacentral:rRNA from 1 species